AGGGCCGGCGCCGGGGCCAGCCCGCCCCUGCCGGAGGGACGCCGGGGGCCGCUCGCCGGCGCCGGGCCUGCCCGCUUCCCACGGCCGUCAGCACCAGAAGUCCCUUCCCCCCUGGGCAGUGGUUUUUUUUAUCUUUUUCGGUGCAGAGAUCUCUCUGAGAAUCUGGCGAAAGCUAUAAUUUUACAUAAAAUUUCCAGGAGUUAAUGGACCCCCUGACGUUCCUCCCUGGAGUCGCAGGUAGAGGCUGGACCGGUCCACCUUGCCACUCAGCAGAGAAUGGAGGUUCUGAAAGGAGGCAGCUUUCCGAUGUUGGCGAGAAGGUGACACCUGGUGGGAAGGGCCCAAUAUUGCAGCCUGAAAAAUGAAAGGCUCCAAUGCCCCAGACCUCAACUGCCUGCUUCGUUCUGCCCAGGAGAGGGGCCAGGGAAGAGAAGAACGGACAUGACAUCUGGAAACACUGGGAAAACUGAAACAGUGCUUUCAUAGACAUAGCUGAGAGUUAGGCGCUGUUGCUGGCUCGCUGCUGGUUUAUCCUCUAGCACGUGGGAGGGGGAGUUUAGCAGCCUGCCUGAAUUCCUUCACUCAUUCACUCACUGUGUAUUGAGUGUAUCUACUGUGCUCAUUACCAUACUAAAUAUGUGGAAUAUAAAGAACAAGCAGUGCUCCCACAGAGAAUCACAUUCCACUGAGGGGAGACAGACGAAAAUUAAAAUACCAUGUACAAGUUCCAUGAAGAAGGGAAGCACAGGAUGAGAAGGGAAGACAGAGCAGAGGUGCCCAGCUCAGCCCAAGGAAGGAUUGGCAGCAGCUUCUUGGAGGAGGCAGUGCCUUAACUGUUGGUGAAUCAGCAGACAUUAGCAGGUAGAGAGGUGGGAAGAAUACUUCAGGUGAAGGUUCAAAGUCAAACUGUGUGGCCUCAUUACAGAACUCCAAGGUCAAGGAUAACUGGGGUUGAGCGUUAGGAGAGUGAUGAGAUGAAACCAGUCAGAUCAUAGGAACCCUUUGGCAAAUGUCGAGUGACCCGAGCUUUGUCCUGGGGGUGAUAAGGGACCAAUGGUGGAUGUUCAAAAAGGGGUUGGCAAGGCCAGAUCUGCACAUCAGAAGGACCACUCUGGGGCUUCCCUGGUGGCGCAGUGGUUAAGAAUCUGCCUGCCAAUGCAGGGGACACGGGUUUGAGCCCUGGGCUGGGAAGAUCCCACAUGCCGCAGAGCAAGUAAGCCUCUGCACCACAACUACUGAGCCUGGCUCUAGAGCCCACGAGCCACAACUAUUGAGCCCACAUGCCACAACUACUGAAGCCCACGUACCUAGAGCUCAUGCUCCACAACAAGAGAAGCCACUGCAAUAAGCCCACGCACUGCAAGGAAGAGUAGCCCCUGCUCGCUGCAACUAGAGGAAGUCCUCGUGCAUCAACGAAGACCCAACAC